rnacentral:sRNA from 1 species
GGGAGAACCCCGCGGACGCUGAACACCACGGCCCACAAACUGGCCGCACUAAUUUAGUGGUGAUGAGCGUAGACAUGUCUUAAUUCGAGGCUCCUAAUUCAGAAUCUCACUGCGCCUCGCCCCUUGCUCCCUCUCUGCAAGGCAAUGUACUUCUACAGAAGAGUGUGCCCUUACAGAUGGAGCAAUGAAAAAUGUUGAACAUGGAAUAAUAUGUAUUGGGAAACCGUCUCUUCGUAAGCAGCGCUUCAUGCAGUUUUCUUCACUCGAACAUGAAGGAGAAUAUUAUAUGACACCACGAGACUUCCUUUUCUCAGUGAUGUUUGAGCAAAUGGAACGUAAAACUUCAGUCAAGAAGCUGACAAAAAAGGACAUCGAGGAUACACUGUCAGGGAUCCAAACAGCUGGCUGUGGAUCAACUUUUUUCAGAGACCUUGGCGAUAAAGGGCUAAUUUCAUAUACUGAGUAUCUUUUCUUGCUUACAAUCCUCACUAAACCCCAUUCUGGAUUUCAUGUUGCUUUUAAAAUGCUGGAUACAGAUGGUAAUGAGAUGAUUGAAAAAAGGGAAUUUUUUAAGCUGCAGAAGAUCAUAAGUAAACAAGAUGACUUGAUGACAGUGAAAACUAAUGAAACUGGAUAUCAGGAAGCAAUAGUGAAAGAACCUGAAAUUAACACAACUCUUCAGAUGCGUUUCUUUGGAAAAAGAGGACAAAGAAAA